CUCCUUUGACGUUAGCGGCGGACGGGUGAGUAACACGUGGGUAACCUACCUAUAAGACUGGGAUAACUUCGGGAAACCGGAGCUAAUACCGGAUAAUAUUUCGAACCGCAUGGUUCGAUAGUGAAAGAUGGUUUUGCUAUCACUUAUAGAUGGACCCGCGCCGUAUUAGCUAGUUGGUAAGGUAACGGCUUACCAAGGCGACGAUACGUAGCCGACCUGAGAGGGUGAUCGGCCACACUGGAACUGAGACACGGUCCAGACUCCUACGGGAGGCAGCAGUAGGGAAUCUUCCGCAAUGGGCGAAAGCCUGACGGAGCAACGCCGCGUGAGUGAUGAAGGUCUUCGGAUCGUAAAACUCUGUUAUUAGGGAAGAACAUACGUGUAAGUAACUAUGCACGUCUUGACGGUACCUUAAUCAGAAAGCC
rnacentral:rRNA from 1 species